rnacentral:rRNA from 1 species
CAGAACGAACGCUGGCGGCAGGCCUAACACAUGCAAGUCGAACGCCGUAGCAAUACGGAGUGGCAGACGGGUGAGUAACACGUGGGAACGUACCUUUCGGUUCGGAAUAACUCAGGGAAACUUGAGCUAAUACCGGAUACGUGCGAGAGCAGAAAGAUUUAUCGCCGAAAGAUCGGCCCGCGUCCGAUUAGCUAGUUGGUGAGGUAAUGGCUCACCAAGGCGACGAUCGGUAGCUGGUCUGAGAGGAUGAUCAGCCACACUGGGACUGAGACACGGCCCAGACUCCUACGGGAGGCAGCAGUGGGGAAUAUUGGACAAUGGGCGAAAGCCUGAUCCAGCCAUGCCGCGUGAGUGAUGAAGGCCUUAGGGUUGUAAAGCUCUUUCGCCAGGGACGAUAAUGACGGUACCUGGAUAAGAAGCCCCGGCUAACUUCGUG